rnacentral:rRNA from 1 species
CGGUGUUUAACUGGCGUGAUGUGGGACGUCCUACCGGUGGGCUUAGCCUCGCGAGGGGCGGCCCAACUAAUAUCCCGUCGCGGUGCUCUUUACUGAGUGUCGAGUCGGGCCGGUACGUUUACUUUGAACAAAUUAGGGUGCUUAAAGCAGGCUAUCCUCGCCUGAAUACUGCGUGUAUGGAAUAAUGGAAUAGGACCUCGGUUCUAUUUUGUUGGUUUUCGGAACCCCGAGGUAAUGAUUAAUAGGGACAGAUGGGGGCAUUCGUAUUGCGACGUUAGAGGUGAAAUUCUUGGAUCGUCGCAAGACGGACAAGAAGCGAAAGCAUUUGCCAAAAAUGUUUUCAUUAAAUCAAAAACGAAAGUUAGAGGUUCGAAGGCGAUCAGAUACCGCCCUAGUUCUAACCAUAAACGAUGCCAGCUAGCGAUCCGCCGAAGUUCCUCCGAUGACUCGGGCGGGCAGCUUCCGGGAAACCAAAGCUUUUGGGUUCCGGGGGAAGUAUGGGUUGCAAAGCUGAAACUUAAAGGGAAUUGACGGAAGGGCACCACCCAGGAGUGGAGCACUGCGGCUUAAUUUGACUCAACACGGGAAACCCUCACCAGGCCCAGACACCGGAAGGAUUGACAGAUUGAUAGCUCUUUUUUGAUUCGGUGGGUGGUGGUGCAUGGCCGUUCUUAGUUGGUGGAGCGAUUUGUCUGGUUAAUUCCGAUAACGAACGAGACUCUAGCCUGCUAAAUAGGCGUACCUUAUGGUAUCGCGAAGGCCCCCGGCUUCGGCCGGUGGGUUUUUACUACCAACGUACAAACAAAUCUUCUUAGAGGGACAGGCGG